GAGACAGGUCAUUAAGGAGCAGGUAGGGGUUAGACAGUACAGAGACAGGUCAUUAAGGAGCAGGUAGGGGUUAGACAGUACAGAGACAGGUCAUUAAGGAGCAGGUAGGGGUUAGACAGUACAGAGACAGUUCAUUAAGGAGCAGGUAGGGGUUAGACAGUACAGAGGCAGGUCAUUAAGGAGCAGGUAGGGGUUAGACAGUACAGAGACAGGUCAUUAAGGAGCAGGUAGGGGUUAGACAGUACAGAGACAGGUCAUUAAGGAGCAGGUAGGGGUUAGACAGUACAGAGAUAGGUCAUUAAGGAGCAGGUAGGGGUUAGACAGUACAGAGACAGGUCAUUAAGGAGCAGGUAGGGGUUAGACAGUACAGAGAUAGGUCAUUAAGGAGCAGGUAGGGGUUAGA
ensembl:lncRNA